ACUGAACCUUCUCAUCCAAGUCCUCGAGCAAAAUGGACAUCUACCUAUCACCAAUAAUUGGGUGCCUUGUGCAAAGCAAUCAAGUGGUUUCAUAUAGAAAAAACUGAAGAAAAAAGUUUUAAAUUAUCUUUUCGUGGAACAGUAAAAAUAAAUAUACAUGAUUGAUCAGGCUGAUGACUUGACAUUCAAUGACUUGGAAGGAGAUAUCCCUAGCAGGAGUGACUCAAGUUCACACCAUACCUGUUAAAUAAACAGCCAUAUUGAAAUAAUUAAAAUCAUGCUCAAACUUUUAAGCAAGGAACCAAAUGCUUGGACCAUGCAAUAUGCCUCCAAUGAUUCAUUGUAGGAAAGCAAUGAAUGAGCCUCAUCUACCAGGCGAUAGGUGUCCACUAACCAGUUCAGAGAUCCCUGCACAAAAGUUUGAGUGCCGCGUGUUGUAGAGAAGCAGGGGUGGAUGGGCAUGACACAGCCAAUUAAGGCUUUGUCAUCUUCUGUGAGUGGUGCAAGGAAUCUGCCAUUCGUCCUUGCCUGCAAUAAUUAUUAUGUCCUCGCUACAUUGCAUUCCUUUGAGAAUGUCAAUGGUCAGCAAACGCCAACGUGCUGCAGGGCGACGCUGGCUACGUUGGGAUUACGUGUUAUUCACGCUCUCCAAGUCCAACUUUGAUAUAUUAGUGAAGAAAUGCAAGUGGUUGAUAUGAGAUGAUUCUUAUGAUAGCCAAUGAAUGGAAAAGAAGGUGAUUGGUAAGGGAAAAGGCUCGGCAAGAAGUGAAGGGAGGCGGUGGGUACUUUUCUUUUCCUUUUAUUCUUUGUUGUAAAGGUCUUUUGGCUACAGUUCUGAACCAUUUCUCCAGCAGGCUAGCUCAUCAUGCAUGCAUGUUGGGUUAAUGCCAACUAGGUGACGGAUCGUUUACCGUUGGGAGACUCGUCAUAUAAAACUUGCGAACGCGAUUGUCAGAGAAUAUGAGGCUUCUUUUUUGUACUUCAACGGAAGGGCCUCUAAAUUUUUUGGAUUGGAAAUUGUGUCUUUCCUUCCUGCUUUUGUAUGUAGUUGGGAGCUUAUUUGGUCCGUGAGCACAUGGGUGACGCGCGCAUUCGUGCAAAUGGUAUGGUCGGUGUAAUAAUUUGACCCGUCCAAUAAAUAUGGCUUUAAUUAUGUCGCCCAUCCAGCAAGUCAAGAAAAAUAAUUUGAUUUGACUUGGGCCAGUA